rnacentral:rRNA from 1 species
GUCGAGUCGGCCUGCGCGGAAGAUGUAACGGGGCUAAGUAGUAAACCGAAGCUGCGGCAAUGUGCUUUUGCACAUUGGGUAGGGGAGCGUUCUGUAAGCGGUUGAAGGUGUGUGGUAACGCAUGCUGGACGUAUCAGAAGUGCGAAUGCUGACAUGAGUAACGAUAAAGGGGGUGAAAAACCUCCUCGCCGGAAGACCAAGGGUUCCUGUCCAACGUUAAUCGGGGCAGGGUAAGUCGACCCCUAAGGCGAGGCCGAAAGGCGUAGUCGAUGGGAAACGGGUUAAUAUUCCCGUACUUCUUACAAUUGCGAUG